UGGGGAAUAUUGGACAAUGGAGGAAACUCUGAUCCAGCAAUUCUGUGUGUGUGAAGAAGGUUUUAGGACUGUAAAACACUUUUAGUAGGGAAGAAAAAAAUGACGGUACCUACAGAAGAAGCAGCGGCUAAAUACGUGCCAGCAGCCGCGGUAAUACGUAUGUUGCGAGCGUUAUCCGGAAUUAUUGGGCUUAAAGGGCAUCUAGGCGGUAAGACAAGUUGAAGGUGAAAACCUGUGGCUCAACCAUAGGCUUGCCUACAAAACUGUUGAACUAGAGUACUGGAAAGGUGGGUGGAACUACACGAGUAGAGGUGAAAUUCGUAGAUAUGUGUAGGAAUGCCGAUGAUGAAGAUAACUCACUGGACAGAAACUGACGCUGAAGUGCGAAAGCUAGGGGAGCAAACAGG
rnacentral:rRNA from 1 species